CAAAUAUUAUGUCUGUUCUGGAUAUAAUCCUUAGUUGGCAGUAUUCUGAUAGCAUGAAACUGUAAUAAGUUGUAAUUAUCCAUGAGUAGUAUACAUAAGAUAUUAUAUCAACAGACAUAUAUCCACAUUGUCCUCCAAUUGUUUGUACUGAAUCUAUUUUUACUUAUUUUUUUAGAAUAACAGUGAUCGCUCCCUGGCUCCCUUUUCAUUGAAAACGAAACCAUACAUUCUUUCUUUCUUUCUUAGUUUCUUAUAACUGGAUACAAUUGUUUUAUCUCUCAGCAGAUAAAACUGACUGAAGGAUGUCAUUGCCUCAUGAAUUUUGUCCCAAUAACUUCCGUCGAUGGGGUCUUCGGAUUUCAAAGCUCGGUGGAUCCGUAAUUGUUGGAUAUUUGAAAGACCUCGUGUAUCGGUUGCUCACAACAUAGUGGAAAGGACAAGACACGUAUAUGUAUGACAGCUAUACGACGAACUCUGUUAGAGUGACUUUUCUUGUGUUUUUUCACUUUAAGUUGCACAAAAUGUGCCAACGUUUCUGGAUUUACAGUUCAAGUAUGUACACAAUUCUUGGUUUAUGAGCAUCUUGAUGAACCGUGGCUGCUGCAACAUGUAUGUUGGCAAACAACAAUGUUUUGUUGCAAUAGUUUUA